rnacentral:rRNA from 1 species
AGAGUUUGAUCCUGGCUCAGAUUGAACGCUGGCGGCAGGCCUAACACAUGCAAGUCGAGCGGUAACAGAUCUAGCUUGNUAGAUGCUGACGAGCGGCGGACGGGUGAGUAACGCGUAGGAAUUUGCCUAGUAGUGGGGGAUAGCCCAGAGAAAUUUGGAUUAAUACCGCAUACACUCUACGGAGAAAAGCAGGGGAUCUUCGGACCUUGCGCUAUUAGAUAAGCCUGCGUGGGAUUAGCUAGUUGGUGAGGUAAAGGCUCACCAAGGCGACGAUCUCUAGCUGGUCUGAGAGGAUGAUCAGCCACAUUGGGACUGAGACACGGCCCAGACUCCUACGGGAGGCAGCAGUGGGGAAUUUUGGGCAAUGGGGGAAACCCUGACCCAGCGACGCCGCGUGGGGGAUGAAGGUUUUCGGAUUGUAAACCCCUGUCAGGUGGGAAGAAGGACUCCUCGGAUAAUACCCGGAGGUUUUGACGUACCACCAAAGAAGCCCCGCUAACU